AAUGAACGCUGGCGGCAUGCCUAACACAUGCAAGUCGAACGGCAACACAGUAAGCUCUUUCCCUUACCGUUGGCGACUGGCGGACGGGUGACGAAUACAUCGCAAUCCUCUUUUUCUUGGGUGACUACGUAGGGCCACUUACGCUACCACCUCAUAUGUUGUACCGCUUAAUUCAGUCGAUCUUCGCACCUUUCCUGACUCUUAUAGCUGAUGCCGGAUCAGCUAGUUGGCUGGGUAAAGUCCCACCAAGGCGACGAUACGUAGCUGACCUGAGAGGAUGAUCGGCCACACUGGAACUGAGACACGGUCCAGACUCCUACGGGAGGCAGCAGUAGGGAAUAUUGGGCAAUGGGCGAAAGCCUGACGCAGCAACACCGCGUGAGUGAAGAAGGUCUUCGGGUUGUAAAACCCUUUUAUUAGGAAAGAAAAGCUGCGGAAGUAAACACCGCUGUUCUGACGGUACCCAAAGAAUAAGCACCGGCUAACUACGUG
rnacentral:rRNA from 1 species